AUGAAAGUACAGCCCCGAUUUGCAGACGCUGUGUGUAGAGGUUCUGGAGCAGAAGUCCCAUUGUAAACAUACCACGGCAGACCCGACGAUGUUUGCAUGAUGUUUUUUUUUUUCCAUAUCUUUUGAAAGCCAGGUCAAGUCUCCAAAAGUCCAAAGGCGAAAUAAGGGUGGCGGCUCACAACAGUUUUUGUUUGCUUGUCAUGGUCCCUGUGCCUUCUGAGCUGACUCUGUAUUGCUAGAAGUGUUUCCUGUUGUGCUGUGUCUCUCUCUCUCCUCCCGCGCGCAUAACUGCCUGACCUCAUCGGCCACUGGACUGUCGCCGUUCGAAGCCUCUCUGGGCUACUGUUACCGGCACCAGACCUAGGGGAAUCUGGACCGGCAGCAAGCGGCACACAGGCUAGAGAGCACUGCGUAGCCAGCCAUGGAGGGUGAGCAUACCAUCCCUUCAGUGCAACACCAUUUCUGCAGGUACCACUGGGCCUGGCGUGCCACCGAAGCCACUCUGCUACAGACAGUGGAGUGCAACAAGAUGCUGACCACCGCCAGGUCCCUGCUCCUGACUAUACGGUUGGGCAAAAGGUCAAACACGUGCUCUCCAGCCCCUUGUGCCCUACUUUCAGGCCCCCUCCGCCCGCCCGGCUCGUGGAUGGGCAGGAAGUGUUUAACAUCACCUGCAUUAUGGACUCUCGGCGGUGGGGGAAGGGUGUUCGGUGAGCUUUAAAGCCGGAGUGAGAGAGCUAACCUGAGCGUCAGAGGAGGAUCAUUGUACAUAGCCCUCAUGUCUUUAUCCUGUUUUUCUUCUUUCACCCCAACCGGUCGCAGCAGAUGGCCGCC